rnacentral:rRNA from 1 species
GAUGAACGCUGGCGGCGUGCCUAAUACAUGCAAGUCGAGCGAACAGACGAGGAGCUUGCUCCUCUGACGUUAGCGGCGGACGGGUGAGUAACACGUGGAUAACCUACCUAUAAGACUGGGAUAACUUCGGGAAACCGGAGCUAAUACCGGAUAAUAUAUUGAACCGCAUGGAUCAAUAGUGAAAGACGGCUUUGCUGUCACUUAUAGAUGGAUCCGCGCGGCAUUAGCUAGUUGGUAAGGUAACGGCUUACCAAGGCAACGAUGCGUAGCCGACGUGAGAGGGGGAUCGGCCACACGGGAACUGAGACACGGUCCAGACUCCUACGGGAGGCAGCAGUAGGGAAUCUUCCGCAAUGGGCGAAAGCCUGACGGAGCAACGCCGCGUGAGUGAUGAAGGUCUUCGGAGCGUAAAACUCUGUUAUUAGGGAAGAACAAAUGUGUAAGUAACUAUGCACGUCUUGACGGUACCUAAUCAGAAAGCCACGGCUAACUACGUG